UUUCCGUAGGUGAACCUGCGGAAGGAUCAUUACUGAGUGACGACCCCUCGGGGUCCAAUCUGCCCCUCGUGUUUAACGAACCUUGUUGCUUCGGCCGGCGCGCCUCACGGCCGCCGGGGGGCAUCUGCCCCCGGGGCCGCGCCCGCCGGAGCCACCUGUGAACGCUAUCUGAAGGAUUCAGUCUGAGACAUUUAUUAAAUUAAUUAAAACUUUCAACAACGGAUCUCUUGGUUCCG
rnacentral:misc_RNA from 1 species